AAGGUGUUCUCGCGUCCCAUUAGCUAGUAGGUGAGGUAAAAGCUCACCUAGGCGACGAUGGGUAGCCGGCCUGAGAGGGUGAUCGGCCACACUGGGACUGAGAUACGGCCCAGACUCCUACGGGGGGCAGCAGUGGGGAAUAUUGGGCAAUGGGCGAAAGCCUUACCCAGCAACGCCGCGUGAGAGACGAAGGUUCUCGGAUUGUAAAUCUCUGUCCUUGGGGACGAAGGAAGUGACGGUACCCAAGGAGGAAGCCCCGGCUAAUUCCGUGCCAGCAGCCGCGGUAAUACGGAGGAUCCGAGCGUUAUCCGGAAUUAUUGGGUUUAAAGGGUGCGUAGGCGGCCAUUUAAGUCAGCGGUGAAAUUUUGCAGCUUAACUGUAACAGUGCCGUUGAUACUGUUUGGCUAGGAUUUGGUUGUAGUGUGCGGAAUGUGUGGUGUAGCGGUGAAAUGCUUAGAUAUCACACAGAACACCGAUUGCGAAGGCAGCACACUAAGUCAUUAUUGACGCUGAGGCACGAAAGUGUGGGGAUCAAACAGGAUUAGAUACCCUGGUAGUCCACACUGUAAACGAUGAUAACUCGCUGUCGGCGAUACACAGUCGGUGGCCAAGCGAAAGCAUUAAGUUAUCCACCUGGGGAGUACGACCGCAAGGUUGAAACUCAAAGGAAUUGACGGGGGCCCGCACAAGCGGAGGAACAUGUGGUUUAAUUCGAUGAUACGCGAGGAACCUUACCUGGGCUCGAACGCGACCGGGAGGGCACGGAAACGUGCCCGCCAGCGAUGGCCGGUUGCGAGGUGCUGCAUGGUUGUCGUCAGCUCGUGCCGUGAGGUGUCGGGUUAAGUCCCACAACGAGCGCAACCCCUACUGCUAGUUGCCAGCGCGUCAUGGCGGGGACUCUAGCGGAACUGCCGGCGUAAGCCGUGAGGAAGGUGGGGAUGACGUCAAAUCAGCACGGCCCUUAUGUCCAGGGCUACACACGUGUUACAAUGGCCGGUACAGAGGGCAGCCACCCCGCGAGGGGGCGCUAAUCCCGAAACCCGGUCUCAGUUCGGAUCGGAGUCUGCAACCCGACUCCGUGAAGCUGGAUUCGCUAGUAAUCGCGCAUCAGCCACGGCGCGGUGAAUACGUUCCCGGGCCUUGUACACACCGCCCGUCAAG
rnacentral:rRNA from 1 species